UGAGGAAUACAUCGGAAUCUACUCUGUCGUGGGGGAUAACGUAGGGAAACUUACGCUAAUACCGCAUACGACCUACGGGUGAAAGCAGGGGAUCUUCGGACCUUGCGCGAUUGAAUGAGCCGAUGUCGGAUUAGCUAGUUGGCGGGGUAAAGGCCCACCAAGGCGACGAUCCGUAGCUGGUCUGAGAGGAUGAUCAGUCACACUGGAACUGAGACACGGUCCAGACUCCUACGGGAGGCAGCAGCC
rnacentral:rRNA from 1 species